rnacentral:rRNA from 1 species
CUCGUAGGCGGCCAACUAAGUCCGACGUGAAAUCCCCAGGCUUAACCUGGGAACUGCGUCGGAUACUGGAUGGCUUGAAUCCGGGAGAGGGAUGCAGAAUUCCAGGUGUAGCGGUGAAAUGCGUAGAUAUCUGGAGGAAUACCGGUGGCGAAGGCGGCAUCCUGGACCGGCAUUGACGCUGAUGAGCGAAAAGCUAGGGGAGCAAACG